rnacentral:rRNA from 1 species
CCUGACUGCUAUCGGAUUGAUACUAAGCCAUGUGAGUCAUUGUAGCAAUACAAGGCAGACGGCUCAGUAACACGUAGCCAACCUACCCUAUGGACGGGGAUAACCUCGGGAAACUGAGGAUAAACCCCGAUAGAUCAUUAUGCCUGGAACGGUUUAUGGUCCAAAUGAUUCGUCGCCGUAGGAUGGGACUGCGGCCUAUCAGCUUGUUGGUGAGGUAAUGGCCCACCAAGGCUAUUACAGGUACGGGCUCUGAGAGGAGAAGCCCGGAGAUGGGUACUGAGACACGGACCCAGGCCCUAUGGGGCGCAGCAGGCGAGAAACCUUUGCAAUGUGCGCAAGCACGACAAGGUUAAUCCGAGUGUUUCCUGCUAAAGGAAUCUUUUGUUAGUCCUAAAAACACUAGCGAAUAAGGGGUGGGCAAGUUCUGGUGUCAGCCGCCGCGGUAAAACCAGCACCUCAAGUGGUCAGGAGGAUUAUUGGGCCUAAAGCAUCCGUAGCCUGCUUUGUAAGUUUCCGGUUAAAUCCAUUAGCUCAACUGAUGGGCCGCCGGAAAAACUGCAAAGCUAGGGAGUGGGAGAGGUAGACGGUACUCGGUAGGAAGGGGUAAAAUCCUUUGAUCUAUUGAUGACCACCUGUGGCGAAGGCGGUCUACCAGAACACGUUCGACGGUGAGGGAUGAAAGCUGGGGGAGCAAACCGGAUUAGAUACCCGGGUAGUCCCAGCUGUAAACGAUGCAGACUCGGUGAUGCCCUGGCUUGUGGCCAGUGCAGUGCCGCAGGGAAGCCAUUAAGCCUGCCGCCUGGGGAGUACGGCCGCAAGGCUGAAACUUAAAGGAAUUGGCGGGGGAGCACCACCAGGCGUGAAGCCUGCGGUUU